AGAGUUUGAUCCUGGCUCAGAACGAACGCCAGCGGCGUGGAUUAGGCAUGCAAGUCGAACGUGAUCCGUAGCAAUACGGUGAAAGUGGCGGAAGGGUGAGUAAUGCAUAGAUAACCUACCUCCAAGUCUGGGAUAACUCCGGGAAACUGGAGCUAAUACCGGAUGGGGUCGCGGGACUGCCUGGUUCUGCGACUAAAGGG
rnacentral:rRNA from 1 species